ensembl:lncRNA
AUGGCCAGGCAUCUCGGUCACUGUGUGCCAGUGAUUCUUCUAUAAAGCAAAAGAUUCAAAGGCUGUGUCAGUCUGGCUGAGCAGAGAGAUGCAGCAGACAGUUGAGCCUUUGCUAGACAAUGAAAAUUGGUAAGGGAGGAACAGAGAAAGAAUGGAGAGGGAGGAGACAGAAAAAGAGGGGAGGUCCAGGAUUCCCAAGGAGAGGGGGUUUCCUUUCUCUUUCCCGGAGCCUCCAGGGAGGAAUAAAUAUAAUUAUCAACCUAGCAUGACACCAUACGAAACAAAAGAGGUACCUGCCAGGUGACCAUCUCUGCCGGGACUCGAACCCGGAACCUCUGGAUUAGAAGUCCAGCGCGCUCGUCCAUUGCGCCACAGAGACCUCACCACACACACAGCAUCAGCACCAGAACUGAAAAAGCACAUACCUUCUGCAUCACCGAGCCAUCUCAGCAUCCUGCUCUCUGAGCGGUGGGGGGGGACAGGGACAGCUGGAAAAUCUGGAGUGGAGAUCCACCAGCCGGCUCCAUCAAAGCUUUUCUCAGUACCGUGGGUCCCUGGGUCCUCAGAGGAUUGGAGGAACAUGGUGGUGAUCAUUUUCCCAGCCCCAGAAUCUCUGACGAAGUAGGACAGAGCCAGAGCCUUUGCUCUUCUUUCCUCUCCAUCCCUAAGGGAGGCUAGGGAGAAGUCUUUCUAUUCUCAUGCUAAUUAAGCAGCGGAGAAAACCGGAGCCUUCUCUACCUCCACCCCCCUCUGUCUCACUGUGGUUUCAUCCCGGUCCAGCUCUUCUCAGACAGGGGCUAGGCAAAGCUGGGAGAUUCAGAGAAACCCUGGAUCCCCCCUGAUCCCGAGACAAAGGAGCUGCUUCCGUAAAGAAACAGUGUGAACCGGCGGCAGAUACCCGCAGGGAAGCUGAGCUGCGGGAGACCAGCUGGUCCAGUUCUCAGCUUUGAGAGCUGAAUCUGUCAGGCUCCGGGGAAGAGGUGCCAGGAAGAGGUAAUGGGAGUCUGAUGUGAUGGUCUUUCAGCAUCUCAACUAGAAUUAAGGACAGGAGUGGAGACAGAGGAGUGGGGUGUGUGUGUGUGUGCGUGUGUGUGUGUGUGUGUGUGUGUGUGGUGUGUGAGAGAGAGAGAGAGAGGGAGAGAGGGAGAGGGAGAGACAGAGUGAGAGAGCGUGAGUGCUUAGAAAGGAGGGAGACAGUGGCAGCUCCAUAAUGAAAUACAGAUGAUCUUGGAGCGGUUCUUUGCUAUCUGCUUCCCUUCCCCCACCUUCCCCAUCUCCAAGUCUGCCUCCUUUCUUUCCAACCUAGGGCCAAUGUCUCAUUUAAAUAAUGAGGAUUUCUCAGCUGUCUGGGUUUGCUAGAGGAGUCUCAGGACAACCAAAUUGACCAUCCCUCCAUAACCAUAUAGAAAGUCCUCCUUACCCAGCCCAGAUCCCCUAAAACAGUUCCUAUUUUUAAAAGCCUCCUAGAGAAGGCAAUGCCAUAAUCAGUUUCCACUAUGCCAGUUCUUCUGAAAGUCUAAUCUAAGUCCUUCUUACCUCACCUUCAGCUCAUUUUAUCCUAUUUGAUUCCCAGACACAUUAAGGGACAACUGGCCUCUAUACUUCCAACGACAAUGCACUGAUUUGAAGACUUUGACUCAGUGUUCAUGACCCCAUUCUUACACGAGGUUGCAAAAAGAGCAGAGCACCGGGUCAGCUGGCCCCUCUCCUCCCUCAGUGUGUGCUCCGAGGGUCCACAGCUCUGGACACUGCCCAUGGCCUCUGAUCAUAAUGUGAGACCCCGGUGAUGGACAAGAGAAGAACAACACGACAAUAUGAACAGCUUCAAUUAGAAGAUCUUUAAGGGCCCUUCUAAGCCUAAGACUGUAUCUGAAUGCACCAUCUCAUACUUCCCUACCCAUUCUUGUAGCCCAAAGAAGGGAACCUGGGAGAGAGCAAGACCAAGGUAAUUUAAUCAGGUUGGGAUGCAAAGGGAAGACCCUAACGCUUGGGGAAAGCAGCCACUCCAACCAGCUAGCCUUCCAUCUAGGACCUAGAGAUGGAGCUCAGAAAAACUGGGGAUUGGUGUAUGCACACAGGGGUAUAUGGAAUGACCAGCCAACAGGGACCUGCUGAAUAGCACAGGGAACUACCCAAUAUUCUGUGAUAAUUUAUGUGGGAAAAAGAAUCUGAAAAAGAAUGGUUUGGGGUAUAUGCAUAACAGAAUCAUUUUGCUGUAGAGCAGAAAUUAUCAUAAUGUUGUAAAUCAACUAUACAUCAGUAAAACUUUUAAAAAUGAAAAAAAAAUGGAUUAUGUACAUUCUAAACCUAAAGCAUGGAGGCACAAAAUAGACCAUUCUUAACACAUUUGCCCUAGACAACUCCAAGAAGGUGACACAGAACUCAAGGCUGGCCAGAGACUGUAUGAUUGCGAAUGGCUAGUAACAAGGUGCUGCUCAAGGAUCUCAGCAGGAUGUCCCUGUGCCUACCCAGGGAGGCUCCACCCCACAGGCCAGCCAUGAACCCUUGGGCACAAGAAAGAGGAAAGCCUAGGUUGUCAGAGUACUUCCCACCAGGCUUGGUCAAUGUUCUCUCAGACACAACAUACACCUGCUCUUCACGGUGAUAUAGUCUUAUACCCAGGAAAUCUACCAGUCCCAAGUUUUCCCCAAAGCAUCACUGCCUUAAGAGAUCAUGUGUGUUCUACAACCUGCGUGAGGAGUCCCAGCCCUCCACCUCCAGGACUUUCAUUCAGGCUUCAAAAUAUUCUCACUUGGGGAUGGGGAGACAAUGAUGACAGAUAACAAUGACCUGGUCCCACCCUCUAGGAUCCCAUAAGUGAUUUUAAUCUAGGAGCUACUCUGAGAGAUGUACAGGAAAAGAAGGAAUCGGUCUUAUUGCCCACCACAUGAGGUAUCAAUUUUCCAAGUUCACUCCAAGACCGUGACUCUGGAAAUGAAGAUCCAGCUUUAAUUACAAGUUGUGCAGCUUACCUGCUUCAAAACCCUGAGAAAAUGACUUAACAUCUCCAUCUUCCACUUCCUCAUUACAAACUGGGGGCAACAAGAAAUGCUGUUGGGAACGAUGAACUGAGACGUCAUGGUACAAGGUGCUGUCCCCUUCCUUCCUCUGUCCCAUUAGUUAUAAUUCUUGACUGUCUUGUCUGGAUUGCCUCCCUCUUCUCAAAUACCCUUUCUUUAGCUUUUCCUCCCCCUCCACAGCCAUCUCUCCAUUCUAGCCCACACCCACCCCUCCUCAGCAAGGGUCUCUCCAGGACCCCUUAUACUUAUAAUCUAUUAUCAACAAAAAUACUCUGGACUUUGUCCAAGGGCUUUUCUUCAAAUCAGAGAUGUCCCUCUGACAUCUAUUAUUUCACUUUACUUCUAUAAAUCAGAUGCAGCCUCUUGAUAAGUGUGAAUAAUGUCUCUCAACCAGGUUUUUAAUUUAAAAAUAAGGAGGGAAACAAUCAAAGGAAGUGAUAGCUUUUAAAGGGACAGGAAGGACAAGGUUAAGCCAUUCAAAAUGAUUAAAGACAGGACAUCUUUUUCUUCUUUUAAACUAGGUAUGUCAUUUGCAUUUAUGUAAACCUUUAAGAAGAUGAGUACAUUCUCUUUCCAAAAAAAAACGUUUUUACUGAUUUAAUUCUGCAAAGAACUGUGACUCAAGCAUUACUCAUGCCUCUAAUUGAAUACCACUCUUUGACCCCCACAGACAAACUGGUGAUGCUCAUACAUUAUUUCAUUCAUAAAGUGUUUCUGGGAUACAUAUGAUAAAUGCCAAAAAAAAUUCUCCUGUUGGCUCAGAAACAAAUACAAUUAAAUCCCACAUCCUACUGUGGCUCUGCUCACAGCUUCCCUAAAGGUACCUAGACCAACUAGCCCACAUAGUAAACACUAAGGGAUAUUAGAUGGAGUAAGGCAGUGAAAUAGCCAUUAGGAUAGCAUGGCCUUUACGCACUACUCUUUCAUGUAUAGUCCCUACAAUGUCCCAAACCGUAUUAAUUCACAUCUAUAUGGGCACAUCUUCUGGAAGUGGUUUCCACAUGCUAUCUUCUAGUGUUCCUGACUAUGAUCAGCUCCCUCUUACUUUUUCACCCCUUACAAGUAACUACUUCAUUCCUCCUUUCAGCACCUCCCAAGGAGGUGGAAGAAAGGGUUUUGCAAGGUCAGGACGGUGUGGCAAGGCCCACUCUGCAGAAGUAGCAAACAUUUAGCUCCUAACUCUCUACCUCUUUAAGCAGGCAACAGCAACAUACCUUGAGUCCUUAGGGAAAACCACCCUGAGUUCUUUUCCAGACAUUGCAUCCUUUCUGAGCUUUGCCCUGUGCUCAUUUGUCUAUCUCCCCCACACAUUGCUUCUAACCAUCAUAAUAAGGCAAUUAUAGUACUAAAGCCUUCUAUUUCCUUCUUCAGCUAAGGAGCCUGCCUGAAGAUUGCUAGUUCCCUCCUCAUCGUUUUCCUGUCCUCUAGGGAAGAAUUGAGAUAAUCCAGGUAGUGACUGAGCCUGAAAUCAAGCCUGAGAAGGACAAAUACAGAUCAAAUCUCACUUUAAUCCUAUCCAUCCCAGGUCUAGCUCUGUCCCAUGGGCUUACUCAGCCCACUGAAGCCUCCCCCAGAUAGACGUAGAACCAAUCGAUCCUCACAAUGGGCUGGACUUCCAAUGAGUAGUCAAGGUCACAGAAGAGUCCACACAGAGGUCAACUUCCUAAGGGAGUCUGAGGGAUGCUGAAGAAUAUGAGCCAGAAGCUCCCUUUCCUGGUCACCUCUAUCUCCCAUCUUUCUCAACUUCCUCUAGGAAACUGUCUAGAAAGUUCUAGAGAGUAUGUCAUCAAGGAUAUGAAUGCUCUGUUUGGUCAAAAAGGAUGAGGAAGCUGGCAGUGUCUAACAAAAGAUGCCACCCAAUCUUUCUGGGAAUUUGCUGGAAAAAAAAAAAAA